rnacentral:rRNA from 1 species
GUACGGGAGGCAGCAGUGAGGAAUAUUGGUCAAUGGGCGCAAGCCUGAACCAGCCAUCCCGCGUGAAGGAAGAAGGCGCUAUGCGUUGUAAACUUCUUUUUCAGGGGAAGAAUGUUGGGUACGUGUACCCAAUUGCCGGUACCCUGUGAAUAAGCAUCGGCUAACUCCGUGCCAGCAGCCGCGGUAAUACGGAGGAUGCGAGCGUUAUCCGGAUUUAUUGGGUUUAAAGGGUGCGUAGGCGGAUAGAUAAGUCAGUGGUGAAAUCCUGCAGCUUAACUGUGGAAUUGCCGUUGAUACUGUCAGUCUUGAGUAUGGUUAAGGUAGGCGGAAUGUGUAAUGUAGCGGUGAAAUGCUUAGAUAUUACACAGAACACCGAUUGCGAAGGCAGCUUACUGAACCAUAACUGACGCUGAGGCACGAAAGCGUGGGGAGCGAACAGGAUUAGAUACCCCGGUAGC